AAAAGAAAUGAAGUUGAUGUAUGUCCCAAGUUUUGAUGAAACUGUAUUUGUAAAAAAAAUUUUGUAGUAUAAGUAUUGUCAUACAGUGUUCAAAACCCCAGCCAAUGACCAGCAGUUGGUACGAAGAAACCUUUGACAUUUUGUAAAAGGCCAUUUCUUGGGAGUUUUUUGGUGUGUCUGUUUUUUUUAAAGUAUUCAAGAUACUACCAGUCAACAUCUUUUUGGAAAAAAAUGCCUUGGGUUUAGAAGAUUUUCUUAAAAGGGGAGUAGAUGGUUGUAGAUUGACUAAAGUCUACCAUACUUCAAGGGACUACAGCUGCAGCUACCUCUGGAUCAAAGAACUUCUAGGACAUCAAGCCAAUUAUCUUCUGUAAUACCCUACCCCUAAUAUAGAUACCCCCAACUCACCUCA
rnacentral:sRNA from 1 species